GGUGGGGUCCACCCAACCCUAGGUAGGACAUGUGUCACCAAAAUUUGGGCCCCAACAUAUUUUUAAUGGCCCAAUGUGCAAAGGUUNNNNNNNNNNNNNNNNNNNNNNNNNNNNNNNNNNNNNNNNNNNNNNNNNNNNNNNNNNNNNNNNNNNNNNNNNNNNNNNNNNNNNNNNNNNNNNNNNNNNNNNNNNNNNNNNNNNNNNNNNNNNNNNNNNUUUUCCCUGAAAAUAAUAAUGCAAAUAAUUAGCUCAGAAAAUUCGAAUUAAUUAAAAUUAGAAUUUCCGGUCAAAUUAAGCACUAUUAGCGAAAACGGGAAAAUACCGGACAUUUAAACACAAUUCCCUGAUUAAUUCUAGCGCAAUAAACUAAGUGAAAUCAAUAAAAUAUCGAUUCAUCAAAAUAGACCACACUUAGUCUUUUGCACUCCUAGGCAAAAUCAAGAUGCAAAACAGAGAACAGUUCAACGGACAUCAGGGAAUUGACACAGACUCAGCAGACAGAAUUACAGUCCUCAAGAAAUCCGGACAAGGAAAAGUAGUAGACAGUAUCCACAUAGAAUCAUAGAAAAUAGAUACUCAGAGAAAUCAUCCAAGCAAUUCCAAGCAUGGCAAAAUAAUCAAUGAGUUCAAGAGGUGAAUCAAAAGCAACAGAACCUCACAGAUGCACACUAUCAGUGUUUCUCUCAAGUGUCUAAGGUAAACAGUGACAACUCAAUGCACUCAAGAAAGCAAACACAAACAGACUUGGCAAGCCUCUAAUGUCAACACUCAAACAUAUAUGCAUGUUCAAAUCAAAAGGUCUUUAUGGGUGAAAUGGGGCCAAGGAUAAGGGAGGAUAAAAUAUGGAUGAGAAGCUACAAACCAAAAGAAAUAGAGGAGCAAUGGGGAAUAAGUGAAAACACAGUCAAAUCACACCCAAAACCCUNUAAUUCAAUCCUCUUCUUGACUCCAUUAUUCACAAUUUUUUUUUAAUUUUUCUUUUUUUUUUUUCUCAUUUUCCUGUAUUUUUUUUUCCUUUUCUCAUCUUGUCUCUUUUUUUUUCUCUCUUUUCAGAACACAACACCAAGAGACAAGAUACACAACAUAUUUACAAAACAAAACAAGAAGAGGAGCCGACUAGCCAAUUCAUCAGAAUCUCCCAGGAGACCACACUUAUUCCCAAAACAAUUCCAAAGCUCCAAAAUUCCCUAAGGUUAAGGUAAACAUGGUUUUUCAGUUAGGGCUAGUGUAUGAGCUUCAAAACAAAGAAAUGGGGAAAGCAUAGGCUCAAAAGGAGUUAUCAAAGGAUAAAAACAGGGUAGGCUCAUUUGGCUAGAGAGGCUCAACAACAAAACUGCCUUUAUCACUUUCAAACAUGCAUAUCAAUCAAGAAUCAUCAUAAAGAGUCAAGCCAAGGCAUAUGUGCAAGCAAUCAAGAGACAUAUCACACACAGGAAAGAAUAUAACGUGGCUCAAAUCUCACACAGGGUAAUUCUAUCAUAAUCAAUUCAACCUCUCAAACAUCAUAAUCAUCUUUCCACGCAAAGAAAAGCAUGAAUUUCAAGCAAAUCAGAGUAUCAAUGAAGUGCAAGACAAAUCUACAACCUAAACCAAGUCCAGAAAUCAAGAGCAACAUGCAAAACUGUACACAAAACACAACAAAAACUACCUAGAAAACAAAAAAUUUAAUGCAGAAAAACAAAAAUUGACAAAGAAAAUAGAAUUCUCCCCCAAUAGACCACACUUAAACUACACAGUGUCCUCAAUGUGUCACAAGCAUAAGAUCAGUAAUAAUAAUAGUCAACAGAUCAAGGACAAGUGCAAUUCAAGUGGGAAAAGGGGAAGAAGGGAAAGAAAACUCCCCUGAUCAUGGUGGCAGUUGCCAAUUUUGGACUUUCAGGGAGAUCUUUUCCACCACCGGAUCCAACAAAGAAGUCAUAAGGAGGAAUUACUUCAGUCUCCAGAUUUGAUCAAGCAGGGAAAUGUCCUCCACAGUUGGAUCUAAGAUGCAGUGAUUGUUGAUGAGUGGGUUCAGCUGGUGCCCAUUAAUCUUCAAGCUUUUGUGUACACUAGCACCCUUGUCUUCCACCGUGGGUGUGCGUUGGUCAAAUUCAUGUGUACCUCCUGCAACAUGGUUAGUGCAAUGUGGUUCUAUAGAAAUAACAUGCAGAGGUAUAACACCCAAUCUCAGUGUAACAAGCUCACCCUCAGAUAUACCCUCAGAACAUGAAUCAAGUUCAAAUUUAGAAGCAAUAUCAACAAUAGGCUCAUAUUCAUGUACAGUGCAUGGAGAACGAACAUUCAGAUGUGAUAACACAAGGUGCUUAUCAUCGUGCACAGAGGGGGAAUGAAAAUCAUGCUCAUCAACAAUGCAAUCAUCAAUAACAUACCUAUCAACAAAAUGAUCAUCAAUAACAGAAUCAAUCUUAGGUAUGCUUACCUCCACUUCCUUAGAUGUGGUUAAAGUGGUGGAAGAUGACAGUGGUCUACCUAUCUUAAAGGUGUUGCUCAUAUCUGUCUGUUCCUCCAAUUCUUCACCAGUCUCCUCAGAUGCAAGAGUGGGGACAUAGGAGGGUGGGAAAGUAGAUGGCGCACUAGUAAGCUCAUGACUCUGCUCCCCAUCUCCUAUGUGAAUGGCACUGACAUCAUAAGGAAUCUGAACAGUUUGAAAUGUUGAUCCCUCUGAAACUUGAGACUGUUCCUCAAUGAACUGAGUGGCCAUCUGCCCCAUCUGAUCAGUCAAACUCUAAAUGGAAUCUCUAAAUUCCUGCUAAAACUGCUGAUACUGAGCUCUGGUUUCCUGCUGAAAUUGCUUAUUCUGAGCAGUCAUCUGUCUCAACAACUCCUUCAAUGUAGGCUCAGAAGUAGUGGAAAGAUGAGGAGUUGCUUGGGCAGGCUGAUGGGACUGCAGCUGCUGUGGUUCCUAGACUGGUGGAGAAGGCAUGCAAGACUUCUGCAAUGGUUGAUAUUGCUAUGGAGAAUCAUACCAUCCCAAGGUACGAUCAUUCCAUCCAGGAUCGUUGCUGUAACCAUACUGAGCAGGGAAGCAUUCAUCCAAGAACAUAUGCUCAAGAUCUUCCCAAGAAGUGAUGGAUCCUUGAGGAAGACCAUAAAGCCAAUCCCUUGCUGCUCCUUGUAGUGAAUGCGGAAAUGCCCUUAAAAACAUGUGAUCAUAAGGGACAUGAGGAGGUUUCAUUGAAGAGCAAAUGGUGUAGAACUCCUCCAAAUGUCUGUAAGGGCAUUCACCUGCAAAGCCAUGAAACUUAGGCAGCAAAUGUAUCAAUCCAGAGGUGAGAAUGAAAUGAACAUCAUCCUCAUGAAGUGAAACUGGCUCUGAAAGAGCACUCUCAUGAGUGGGAGGAUGAGUCAUAUUGUUCUCAUCAUAGAAAUCAUCAGAGUAACAUCCAUAAGGAGAAUCAUAAUCAUAGGCACUGAUAGAAUAAGCAUUAUUCACUGAAUCAAAAUAGGUAGACAUGUAGAAAAGGGGGGAGGGAAAGAAGAAUGAAAUGAAAAUAUGAAACUAAAGCUAUCUAAAUGCAACACACAUGAUACGACACACAAAACGGAACAUCACACUCACAACACAAGACAAAACACAACACACAUAAACACAACAAAAGACCUAAAACCGAACUGUUGGUCCCCGACAACGGCGCCAAAAUUUUGAUGAGUGUUGCACCCCAUGCAAAAUUUAAUGUGCAUAAAAGAGUGCAGUAUAAACUAGGAAGUGACUCAUAGGUCGUCUCUCAAGGACCAAAUGUGGUUCGAGAAUUAGGUCAAACACAAAUUGAGGGGGGGGGGGUUGAAAGUGUUUUUGCGAAGAAAAUUAAAUUAAAUCAAAACUAGAAAUUAAAUGCAACCAAACAUAAUUGAAAACAUUAAAAUAAAAGAGGAUGUUAAACCUAACACUGCAAAAGACAAAUAUUCAAACAUAAUUAAAGCUACAAAAAUACGACGCUUAAGCUAAAACGUUAAAUGCAUAUCUUAGUGGGAACAAAUAAAUUGCCAAAUUGCCUGACCAAUUGAAAUCCACGGAUAAUUCAUGAACACAUCUAAUACUAUUGGAAUUGCAAUAAGUGAACUAAAAAGAAAUAAAAUGCUAAUUGUUAAAGUGCUAAAAGAAAAAAAGAAGGAAAGCAUGAAUAGUAAAAGAUGGACCAUCUUCCAUUACGUGGCAGCCCCCCCCCCCCCACCUAAUCUACUAAAUUGAAGAAAAAAAAUGGAAAUUGCUCUUCAAAGGAAAAAAAAAGAAAUCACCAACUUUCUCCUAGCUAAACGUGAUCGUGCCAUGUGCUGUCCCCAUUUCCAAUCAAUCAAUGCAUCUUAUUAUGAAACAAAGUACCACUGUGUGCUCUUCUCUGCUUAAAUAAAUGUAACCAGCUUGCAAUUCAAACAUUUAAUAAUAAUAAUAAAAAAAAAACUUCAAACCAAACCCAUGAAGGUAGCUGCAGCAGGCCAUGUGCUAUUCUCUCCCAUCAAAUCAAAAUCAAAUGCUCAAAACAUAAAUCACCAAAUGUUACCGCUUCAGCAAAAAAGAGAAUGUCAACGUCUUCUAAAAAAAUAAAAAAAUGCCUCCUGGUUUUUAAUCACCGAAUAAUGAAAUGAAGCAACGAGAAUGCUGAAUAAAAGCACCGAAUGAUUCUCACCAAAUCCUGCACCACUUUUCUAAUUGAAAAUAUAAAGAGAGAAAAGGAAAAUAAAAUUCAGCUUCUUCAUUCAUCCAUAAUCAAACAAUGCCUUUGGAAGCUCCAUGAAAGAAAAUACGUUCCAGCAAAAGUGUAUUCUCCGAGAGAGAGCCCCUACCAAAAAAUAAAUGAUGGCUACCAAAUCCUAGGACCUUGAGGUGUGUGCUGAAAAAUGAGGGUGGGGUCCACCCAACCCUAGGUAGGACAUGUGUCACCAAAAUUUGGGCCCCAACAUAUUUUUAAUGGCCCAAUGUGCAAAGGUUUGUCCAAAAAGUUUAAACAAUUAAAAUUACAAUACAACUAAAAUUUAAAAUGUCUAAUUGAGAGUCUUGAAUUUAUUUNGUGUCCUCCAAAUGUCCCAAAUUGUGUUUCCAAAAUUUUCCCUG
rnacentral:lncRNA from 1 species